rnacentral:rRNA from 1 species
AUUGAACGCUGGCGGCAUGCCUACCCAUGCCAGUCGAACGGCAGCACGGGUGCUUGCACCUGGUGGCGAGUGGCGAACGGGUGAGUAAUACAUCGGAACAUGUCCUGUAGUGGGGGAUAGCCCGGCGAAAGCCGGAUUAAUACCGCAUACGAUCUACGGAUGAAAGCGGGGGACCUUCGGGCCUCGCGCUAUAGGGUUGGCCGAUGGCUGAUUAGCUAGUUGGUGGGGUAAAGGCCUACCAAGGCGACGAUCAGUAGCUGGUCUGAGAGGACGACCAGCCACACUGGGACUGAGACACGGCCCAGACUCCUACGGGAGGCAGCAGUGGGGAAUUUUGGACAAUGGGCGAAAGCCUGAUCCAGCAAUGCCGCGUGUGUGAAGAAGGCCUUCGGGUUGUAAAGCACUUUUGUCCGGAAAGAAAUCCUUGGCCCUAAUACGGUCGGGGGAUGACGGUACCGGAAGAAUAAGCACCGGCUAACUACGUG